rnacentral:rRNA from 1 species
GACGUAGGGGGCGAGCGUUGUCCGGAAUUACUGGGCGUAAAGAGCACGUAGGCGGGAACCUAAGUCAGGUGUGAAAGACCGUGGCUCAACCACGGGGUGGCAUUUGAAACUGGGUUUCUUGAGGGCAGGAGAGGAAAGCAGAAUUCCUGGUGUAGCGGUGAAAUGCGUAGAAAUCAGGAGGAAUACCAGUGGCGAAGGCGGCUUUCUGGACUGACCCUGACGCUGAGGUGCGAAAGCGUGGGUAGCAAACAGGAUUAGAUACCCCUGUAGUCCCUGAG